rnacentral:lncRNA from 1 species
AUGCCUGCCCAUCUUGGGGAAAGGAGACCAGUGGAAGUCUCUUUUUUGCGAAAGGACUUCACCUCUGAGUCCAUGCAGCUGACGUGGACUUUACUUAGCCUACAGUACCAGGGAUUGAACUCAGGACUGUCUGCUUGCAAGGCAGGUACUUAUGCCGCUGAGCUAAAUCCCCAGCCCCUUAUGUCCUGCUUUUCCACGUGUGUUUUUUAUUAUUAUUUAAAGGUAUUAAUGUUCACAUUAAGAAUACAGACACUUUGUCAAAUGCAUUGUGAAUUAUCCCUCUUAUCAUUUGCCUCUUACUUGUUUCUAGGCUUUUCAUUUUCAAGAGUCUGAAAAUGUGAAUUAACUUUGUCUAAUGUUUGAAUUGCUGACACCGACACUUUUUCUAAAGGCCUCUAGUUGUUUGUGCAUUAAAAAGAAAGAAAAGGAGAGAAUUAAAAGGAAA